AGCAGGGUUUCCGCGUUACUCGACUCAUUUCUCUUUUCUCUCUAAAAUCUAGGGUUUGUUCUCUCGGGGGCGAUAUUUGGUGCGACGGCGAUUCCCGAAGGUUCUCUCCAUCCAAUCGACGACGGAGUGUCAUCUACACGAUCUCAGAUGGAUCCCGCAGCAGAGAGAAGAGACGGAAAGAGGAACAUUGAGUACAACAACUCAUUAGGCUAUGUGGCGGAUUCAGAGUAUGGUAUUCCAAAAAGGUGUUACUGCGGUGGGAGAAUGAUUGCAGAGGUUCAGAGGAAGGAGGAGCACGACACUCUUCCUGGGAAGCGGUUCUUCACCUGCGUCAACUACGAGGUAAGAAAGAAACAUAGUUUAGUGUUUGUGUUAUGAAUUUGUUUCUGUUUUUAAUUUCAGUACAUGGUUUUACCAAGGCUGAUGGGCUCCACUACCGUCAGCCUUGGGUGAUUGGUGUACAGGAGGAGAUCGAAAGGCUGACUAGCCGGCUGGAGGAGGCUGAGAAGGUUAUCAAGGAGGUGCCCAUCCUCAAUGACCAGAUCGUGUCUCUAGAGGAACAGGUUAAAAGCCUCUCUGGUCUGCUCGAUGUUCUCACUGUGAAGGUGCAUGACCUGGAGAUGGUGUGCUUCGAUUAAAAAGCAAAGGU